rnacentral:rRNA from 1 species
AAAAAAAAUAGUAAAAUUAAUUGAAAUUUGAUAAUAUAAUUAAUUAUAUAUAAAGAAUUAAUAAGUAAAUUUGGCGAUAGUGCAUUAGUACUGAAAAGGAAUAAUGAAAUAAAAUAUAUUGGAAUUAUUAUAAAUAGUAAAAUUAAAAGUGUGUACCUUGUGUAUCAGGGAGAAUUAAAAUUAAUAAAUUAUUGUUUAAAUCUCGGUAAAAAAGUGUCUAAUUAUAAUUUAUCAUUUUAUGUGGGAAAAUAAUAUUAAAAAUAUAAUUGGUGAUGAAAUAUCGGUCGAAUUUUUAUAUCUAGUUGCUUUUGAAAUAAAUUUAAUUUAGUUUAUCUUUGAAGUUUAAAGAUAAUUAAAGUAUAGGAGGGAAGAGCUUCUUAUACAAUAAUGUGGAAGUAGAAGAAAAAAAAUAAUAGAAUAAAUAUAAGUAGGCUUAAAGGUAGCUAUUUUUAUAAAGUGUUUUAACUAAUGUGUAUAUAAGUUUAUAUAUUUUCUCUAUAGAUAAGUAAAGAGCUUAAGUAAAAAAUUAAAUUGUGUUUGUAAUAAUGAUUUUAUUAGUAAUUAUUUAUGUUAAAAACAUAAUAUUAAAAAAGGUAUUAUUUUUUAAUGUUGGAUUGGUUUUAAAUUAAGGAACUCGGCAAAUAAUUAUUUCUGCCUGUUUAUCAAAAACAUGUCUUAUUGGAUAUUUAAUAAGUCUAGCCUGCCCACUGAAAUUUAAAGGGCCGCAGUAUUUUGACUGUGCGAAGGUAGCAAAAUCAUUAGUUUUUUAAUUGAAGGCUUGUAUGAAUGGUUGGACAAGAAAUAAGCUGUCUUUAUAAAAUUUAUUGAAUUUAACUUUUAAGUAAAAAGGCUUAAAUAUUUUAGAGGGACGAUAAGACCCUAUAAAGCUUUAUAUUUUAUUAAAUUUUUUGAGAAGGAUUUGUAAAAAUUAAUUUAUUUAAUAAAAUAUUGCGUUGGGGCGACGAGAGUAAAAUUUGGUAUCUGCUUUAUUGUUUAUAACAGUGAUUUUUGGAAUAAUAAAUGAUCCUAUUUAUAAAGAUUAAAAGUUUAAGUUACUUUAGGGAUAACAGCGUAAUUUUUUUUGAGAGCUCUUAUCGAGAAAAAAGUUUGCGACCUCGAUGUUGAAUUAAAUUGUCUACUUAUGUGCAGCAGCUAAGUAAGAAGGUCUGUUCGACCUUUAAAAAUUUACAUGAUUUGAGUUCAAACCGGCGUGAGCCAGGUUGGUUUCUAUCUUCUAAGUAUUUAUAUACUUUUUUAGUACGAAAGGAUUGGGAAGUUUAAAUAAUUUAAAAAUGUAGUUAAUG